rnacentral:ncRNA from 19 species
UGCGUUCAGCACGCGCUUGUCAAUUUCUUGCAGAACAGGGCUACGAAGUUAUCAAUGUCCAAGGUGGCAUGGAUGCCUUAGAAUAAGAAAAACUCCCUUUGAGACCAAAAUAAAAAAGUUUCAAGGGGAAUUUAUU